UACGGAGGGGGCAAGCGUUGUCCGGAAUUACUGGGCGUAAAGCGCGUGUAGGCGGCUGUUUAAGUCCGGUGUGAAAGCCCGGGGCUUACCCGUGGAAGGGCGCUGGAAACUGGGCGACUUGAGUAUGGAAGAGGGAAGCGGAAUUCCUCGUGUAGCGGUGAAAUGCGUAGAUAUGAGGAGGAACACCAGUGGCGAAGGCGGCUUCCUGGUCCAAUACUGACGCUGAGGCGCGAAAGCGUGGGGAGCAAACAGG
rnacentral:rRNA from 1 species